AUGCGGUAUGACGGUACCCUUUCGAAUAAGAGGUUGCUAACUCUGUGCCAGCAGCAGCGGUAAUACAGAGACCUCGAGCGUUAUCCGGAUUUACUGGGCGUAAAGCGUCUGUAGGGGGUUUGUUAAGUUCCAAGUAAAAUCUUAAGGCUCAACUUUAAGUUCGCUUGGAAAACUAAUAAACUGGAGUCCAGCAGAGGUGCAUGGAACUUGCGGUGUAGGAGUGAAAUCCGUUGAUAUCGCAAGGAACACCAAAGGCGAAGGCAUUGCACUGGGCUGGUACUGACCCUGAGAGACGAAAGCGUGGGGAGCAAAACGGAUUAGAUACCCGUGUAGUCCACGCCGUAAACGAUGGAUACUAGAUGUUCGGGGAUUCGACCCCCUGGGUGUCACAGCUAACGCGUUAAGUAUCCCGCCUGGGAAGUACGGCCGCAAGGCUAAAACUCAAAGGAAUAGACGGGGAUCCGCACAAGCGGUGGAGCGUCUGGUUUAAUUUGAUAGUAAGCAAUGGACCUCACCAAGGUUUGACAUCCUAUGACAACCCUGGAAACAGGGCUUCCUUCGGGCAUAGUGACAGGUGCUGCAUGGUCGUCGUCAGUUCGUGCCGUGGGGUGUUCCGUUAAGUCGGCAAACGAACGAAACCCUCGUGGCAUGUUACAAAUUUCAUGCGAGACUGCCCGGGUCAACCGGGAGGAAGGCGGGGAUGAGGUCAGAUCAGCAUGGUCCUUAUACCUUGG
rnacentral:rRNA from 1 species